GAUGAACGCUGGCGGCGUGCCUAAUACAUGCAAGUCGAGCGAACAGAUGAGGAGCUUGCUCCUCUGACGUUAGCGGCGGACGGGUGAGUAACACGUGGAUAACCUACCUAUAAGACUGGGAUAACUUCGGGAAACCGGAGCAAAUACCGGAUAAUAUAUUGAACCGCAUGGUUCAAUAGUGAAAGACGGUUUUGCUGUCACUUAUAGCUGGAUCCGCGCCGCAUUAGCUAGUUGGUAAGGUAACGGCUUACCAAGGCAACGAUGCGUAGCCGACGUGAUAGGGGGAUCGGCCACACUGGAACGGAGACACGGUCCAGACGCCUAAGGGAGGCAGCAGUAGGGAAUCGUCCGCAAUGGGCGAAAGCCUGACGGAGCAAGGCCGCGUGAGUGAUGAAGGUCUUCGGAUCGUAAAACUCUGUUAUUAGGGAAGAACAAAUGUGUAAGUAACUAUGCACGUCUUGACGGUACCUAAUCAGAAAGCCACGGCUAACUACGUG
rnacentral:rRNA from 1 species